GUAAAGAUGGCUGAGAGUAGGCGGUGGGUUGUAAUUCCAUUUACGGGGUGAUACCUCUCUUUACA
rnacentral:tRNA from 1 species